UACAGAGGGGGCAAGCGUUGUUCGGAAUUACUGGGCGUAAAGGGCGCGUAGGCGGCCUGCUAAGUCGAACGUGAAAUCCCUGGGCCCAACCCAGGAACUGCGUCCGAUACUGGUUGGCUUGAAUCCGGGAGAGGGACGUGGAAUUCCAGGUGUAGCGGUGAAAUGCGUAGAUAUCUGGAGGAACACCGGUGGCGAAGGCGACGUCCUGGACCGGCAUUGACGCUGAGGCGCGAAAGCCAGGGGAGCAAACGGG
rnacentral:rRNA from 1 species